rnacentral:rRNA from 1 species
UACGGAGGGUGCAAGCGUUAUCCGGAUUCACUGGGUUUAAAGGGUGCGUAGGCGGGCAGGUAAGUCAGUGGUGAAAUCUCCAAGCUUAACUUGGAAACUGCCGUUGAUACUAUCUGUCUUGAAUACCGUGGAGGUGAGCGGAAUAUGUCAUGUAGCGGUGAAAUGCUUAGAUAUGACAUAGAACACCAAUUGCGAAGGCAGCUCACUACACAAUCAUUGACUCUGAGGCACGAAAGCGUGGGGAUCAAACAGG